GACCAAUGCGGCAAAGACAUUUGGCAGACACAUUUACGUAAUGUUUUGUAAUAUCAGCUUAAAAGUCAACAAAUGAAUACAUUAAUUACAUCUGUCCAAACAUAUGACGUGGCUAGUUAAUAGUUGACGUGGACACUUUGGGGUUCUUUUUGGAAGAAAAAGAGUAACCUGGCCUACAAUCGUCGAAUCUCGCCGUCGUCAGCUAAAGAGACCAACGAAGCUUCCGAAAUCGGUCAGGCCGAGACACUGAAGAUGGGAGAAGCCAAACAUUUUGUGACAAAUCUGCUGACCACAUUGUAAUUGUACCUAGACAAGUGAUGAAGAACGAUCCUCUCCAGCUCUAAUGAAACCUCUCUCAUGUUUGGCCGCUUCCUCCCUUUCCGGCUAAGACAUUUUCGAGCAAGUUUUGCG